rnacentral:misc_RNA from 1 species
AAGUCGUAACAAGGUUUCCGUAGGUGAACCUGCGGAAGGAUCAUUUCCGAACAAAACUCUUACAAACCAAUCUUGUGGAAUGUUCUGGGUUUUUUUUUUACUCUAGGAGGUAGGGCUUAGUUGCGGCAAUAGUGGCAGCCAGCGUUUGUACCAGUGGGUACCUCUGUGCGGCAGCCCGCCUAUUAUACGCAAUGCUCGACGCUCUACUUUUCUCCUAGAGGCCAUGAUGAACUACCUUCGGGUUGAUAGUAUCUUUUAUUUCACUUUUCUCGUGUGUUGUGCUCUCGCGGCAUGACACGCAGAAAUCAAAACAAAAAAUAUAAUGAUACGACAACUUUUAACGGUGGAUCUCUUGGCUCGU